AUGACAAUUCAUCAACAAAUCAACAAAUGACAAUUGUUAGCUAGAUCAUGGAGAAAAAGGAUCCCUAGUACACUGCUUGUGGGAAUGCAGACUUGUCCAGCCACUAUGGAAAACAGUAUGGCAUUUCCUCAAAAAAUAAAAAAAA